GGGUGGUAGCUCAGGGGUAGAGCAGGCGACUCCAGUUCGUCAGGUCCGAGGUUCGAUUCCUUGUCGC
rnacentral:tRNA from 1 species